GACGAACGCUGGCGGCGUGCCUAAUACAUGCAAGUCGAACGCAGUGGGGACGGGUGAGUAACACGUGGGUAACCUCCCAUCAGAGGGGAUAACACUUGGAAACAGGUGCUAAACCGCUACUGAUGGAUGGACCCGCGGUGCAUUAGCUAGUUGGUGAGGUAACGGCUUACCAAGGCCACGAUGCCUAGCUGGCCUGAGAGGGUGAUCAGCCACACUGGGACUGAGACACGGCCCAGACUCCUACGGGAGGCGGCAGUGGGGAAUCUUCGGCAAUGGACGAAAGUCUGACCGAGCAACGCCGCGUGUGUGAAGAAGGCUUUCGGGUCGUAAAGCACUGUUGGUAGAGAAGCGGUAUCUAACCAGAAAGCCACGGCUAACUACGUGCCAGCCGCCGCGGUAAUUC
rnacentral:rRNA from 1 species